rnacentral:rRNA from 1 species
AUUGAACGCUGGCGGCAUGCCUUACACAUGCAAGUCGAACGGCAGCGCGGGAGCAAUCCUGGCGGCGAGUGGCGAACGGGUGUGUAAUACAUCGGAACGUGCCCAAUCGUGGGGGAUAACGCAGCGAAAGCUGUGCUAAUACCGCAUACGAUCUACGGAUGAAAGCAGGGGAUCGCAAGACCUUGCGCGAAUGGAGCGGCCGAUGGCAGAUUAGGUAGUUGGUGAGGUAAAGGCUCACCAAGCCUUCGAUCUGUAGCUGGUCUGAGAGGACGACCAGCCACACUGGGACUGAGACACGGCCCAGACUCCUACGGGAGGCAGCAGUGGGGAAUUUUGGACAAUGGGCGAAAGCCUGAUCCAGCCAUGCCGCGUGCAGGAUGAAGGCCUUCGGGUUGUAAACUGCUUUUGUACGGAACGAAACGGUCUUUUCUAAUAAAGAAGGCUAAUGACGGUACCGUAAGAAUAAGCACCGGCUAACUACGUG